UUCCCUCCUCCAUCUCUUUAUAUUUCAAGAUUCUAACAUCCACCACCUCUUCUUCUCUUCACAAAAACUCUAUAGUCAUCUUCUUUUUUCUUUCUAAAUGUCUCCAAAAACCCAAAUGGGAAAUUGCAUGAAAAAUAAUAAAGCUGUUAUUCUAGGUCAUGAUCAUGAAGAGAAAAUUAAGGGACCUAUUGAGGAAGCGGAAAAGGCAAAGGUACAAAGCAUUAAUAAUAGAAGAAGAAGUGUUAGAUUUAGAGUAGAUGAUGACAAAGAAGAGGGCCAAGAAAUGAUGAGAAAAGGUGUGGUAAGUAUUAGGCUAGUUGUGACACAAGAAGAAUUGAUGUAAAUAUUGAAUGGGAAGUUUAAUUAUUCCUCAGCAGAUGAAUUUUUAAGAAAAAUAAGGUCAGAAAGUAGAGGUAAAAGAAUAAGAAGCAGCAGAAGUAGAUUACUGCACGAUUGAUUUUCUGAAAAAAUAAGUAGUAGCACAAGUUGGAGGCCAACUCUUGAGUGUAUUCCAGAGAACCACUAAAAUUGUUCUGAAUAUUUCCUCCUAUUUUUUUUCUUCUUUAUCUUGUUGUGGUAACAGAUUUGGAGGUUGUUAAUAUCUGGUUAUAUCUUCUGAAUGAUAAAGGUUAGUUUUUUAUUUAUAUCUUUCUUGUUUUUUCUUUCUUUUUUUUGGUUUGAGGUUGGGGGGUUGGGGGAGGUUGUAGGGAGCGAUUCCUUGAUAUAUUCAGAAUUUUGUUGAUGUUAAUUUCAGAUUUUAUGCGAAACUGAUGCGUCACUAAAAAAAAAUAGCUUAUUUGCGGAGGGUAUUUUCAUAUUUUGCGACAGUCGGCGAACCCCGUUAUUUGAUAUUGCAGCGGUCUUCAAAACCACAACUAUAAGGUUUGCCGCAAUCAUUUUGAGACAGUUUUUUAAAGCCCGCCGUAACUAUUUAACGGAGGUUAUUU
rnacentral:lncRNA from 1 species